AUGAACGCUGGCGGCGUGCCUAAUACAUGCACGUCGAGCGAACAGACGAGGAGCUUGCUCCUCUGACGUUAGCGGCGGACGGGGGAGUAACACGUGGAUAACCUACCUAUAAGACUGGGAUAACUUCGGGAAACCGGAGCUAAUACCGGAUAAUAUAUUGAACCGCAUGGUUCAAUAGUGAAAGACGGUUUUGCUGUCACUUAUAGAUGGAUCCGCGCCGCAUUAGCUAGUUGGUAAGGUAACGGCUUACCAAGGCAACGAUGCGUAGCCGACCUGAGAGGGUGAUCGGCCACACUGGAACUGAGAACCGGUCCAGUCACCUACGGGAGGCAGCAGUAGGGAAUCUUCCGCAGUGGGCGAGAGCCUGACGGAGCAACGACGCGUGAGUGAUGAAGGUCUUCGGAUCGUAAAACUCUGUUAUUAGGGAAGAACAAAUGUGUAAGUAACUAUGCACGUCUUGACGGUACCUAACCAGAAAGCCACGGCUAACUACGU
rnacentral:rRNA from 1 species